UGGGGAAUAUUGGACAAUGGGCGCAAGCCUGAUCCAGCCAUGCCGCGUGAGUGAUGAAGGCCCUAGGGUUGUAAAGCUCUUUCACCGGUGAAGAUAAUGACGGUAACCGGAGAAGAAGCUCCGGCUAACUUCGUGCCAGCAGCCGCGGUAAUACGAUGGGGGCUAGCGUUGUUCGGAUUUACUGGGCGUAAAGCGCACGUAGGCGGACUAUUAAGUCAGGGGUGAAUUCCCGGGACUCAACCCCGGAACUGCCUUUGAUACUGGUAGUCUUGAGUUCGGGAGGGGUGAGUGGAAUUCCGGGUGUAGAGAUGACAUUCGUGGAUAUUCGGAGGAACACCAGUAGCGAAGGCGGCUCACUGGCUCGAUAAUGACGCUGAGGUGCGAAAGCGUGGGGAGCAAACAGG
rnacentral:rRNA from 1 species